CCAUGCCAGCAUUAUGGUCACUUGCAUGGUAAUAUACCCUAUCAGCAUUUUAAUCACACUUAUUAUCGGAGCAUAAGUACGCAACACCUUACAAAGGAUUGCCCUCAAGGGCCAAAGGAUGUGGCCAGACCUAUAGUCUAGGGUCGUGUGUAUUACCUUGAUGAACUCGGUAUCCUCCCCACUCCUAUCCUUAUCCAGGGUAUGCUUUCUAUCCAUGACACUUCUGCCAGAGCUCUGAUC
rnacentral:lncRNA from 1 species